GAAUUCGUUGAGCCGAGAGAGAGGCCGCAAUACCCACGUUUACCCUUUUCUGCCGACAGAAGCCCACGUCUAACUCUCUCCGUUUCUCUUGAAAUUUCAGGCGAUUGGUGGUGAUGGGUUGGUAGAUUUUAAGUUAAGAAAACGAAGAGAAACGGAGAGAGAGAGAGAGAGAGAGAGAGAGAGAGAGAGGGAGGGAGAGGGAGAGCGAGAGGUAGAUCUCUUUCGUUCAAUUUCUCUUGUUUCUCUUUGUUGUUGUUGUAAUGGGGUGGAGAUACAAGGCAGGAUUGUUGCUGAUGGUUGCUGUUGUUAUUAUAUGGGUUACAUCCGCUGAAGUCACACAGGGUAUAUUUACAGAUUACAAACAGCCAUUUGCUAUCACAUAUUUGGGAGCCUCUCUUAUGGUAGUCUACCUCCCAUUAGCAUUCAUUAAGGAUUGCAUAUGUAAUUCAAUGAGAAAGCAGUCUUCUAAAAGUGGUAGAAAUGCAGAAACUGUUGACAAGACUUCUGCUGGGCUUGAGUCUCCUAUAAACCGCAAUGGGAUGCAGAAGAUCUUGGAAAUGGAAAUGCAGGAUACUAUAACUAGAAAAGAUAGUGAACAGGACCUUUCUGCUCAGGAAGAAGGGAAGCCGUUGAUUGCUAAACGAAAAGGCGACCUGGAUAGAGCACUUACCACAAGGGAAAUUGCUAAAUAUGGCUUUUAUAUUGCCCCUAUUUGGUUUAUUACAGAGUAUUUAUCAAAUGCUGCACUCGCACGCACAAGUGUUGCUAGCACGACAGUACUGUCCUCAACUUCAGGACUUUUUACGCUUUUCAUUGGUGCCCUUCUGGGACAAGACUCUCUAAAUAUAGCGAAAGUAGUUGCUGUUUUUGUCAGCAUGGCUGGUGUUGCCAUGACAACUCUGGGGAAGACUUGGGCCUCUGAUGAAUUGCAGAUAAGCUCUCCUGGAAGUGGAAAACGUUCUCUUGUUGGAGAUCUGUUUGGCCUUCUCUCCGCAAUGUCAUAUGGUCUAUUUACUGUGCUACUCAAAAAGUUCUGUGGAGAGGGAGGAGAGAAGAUUGAUGUGCAAAAGUUAUUUGGAUAUGUUGGAUUAUUCACGCUUGUUGCCCUCUGGUGGCUUGUAUGGCCAUUGACAGCGUUGGGAAUUGAACCAAAGUUCACAAUCCCUCACUCAGCUAAAUUGGAUGAACUCUUGCUUGCUAAUGGGUUAAUUGGAAGUGUUCUCUCGGAUUACAUCUGGGCAUUGUGUGUCGUUUGGACUACUCCCUUGGUGGCUACUUUAGGAAUGUCCCUCACGAUACCACUUGCCAUGGUCGCCGACAUGAUGAUUCACGGACGGCAUUAUUCAGCAGUCUACAUGCUUGGCUCAGCUCAGGUAUUCGCUGGGUUUGUAAUAGCUAACCUUUCUGAUUGGCUUUCAAAAAAGCUGGGAUUGUAGCAUUACCAAACAACUCAUAAUCUGGUGAUUUAUGAUUCUUUCUUGUGUGCAUUCUUUCCCUCAUUAAGCUGAGGCGAUGGAUGAGCUAGUCCUGGUUCAUUGCUGCUCUUCACGCAUGGCUAUGCCUUGGUAGAAAAUCCAACCGGAGCCAGAUGAGUCCUGAGGGCUUCAAACUGACAAUGGAAGGGGAAAAUAGUAAAUGGGCUGAAGGCUAGAAUCCUUAAAAAAGAAAGAUUCUUUUAUGCUUUUUCCUAAAGUGGGCCGUCCAUGAUAGGGUUUGUGAGAUGGACAGUUCGGAUUCACCAUCCAAUGAGGAGAGCGUAUUAUAUUA